rnacentral:tRNA from 1 species
GGCCUGAUGGUCUAGUAGUAUGAUUCCUUGUUAGGGCAAUUCCACUGCACUCAUCGAGGAGGUCCCGGGUUCAAUUCCCGGUCAGGCCC